UACGGAGGGUGCGAGCGUUGUCCGGAAUCACUGGGCGUAAAGGGCGCGUAGGCGGUUCGUUAAGUUGCUGGUGAAAUCCCGGGGCUCAACUCCGGGGCUGCCAGUAAGACUGGGGGCUAGAGCACGGUAGAGGCGGAUGGAAUUCCCGGUGUAGCGGUGGAAUGCGUAGAUAUCGGGAAGAAUACCGGUGGCGAAGGCGUUCCGCUGGGCCGUUGCUGACGCUGAGGCGCGACAGCGUGGGGAGCAAACAGG
rnacentral:rRNA from 1 species